rnacentral:rRNA from 1 species
AAAUAGAUACCCGGGUAGUCCACGCCGUAAACGAUGAGUGCUAAGUGUUGGGGGGGUUUCCGCCCCUCAGUACUGCAGCUAACGCAUUAAGCACUCCGCCUGGGGGAGUACGGUCGCAAGACUGAAACUCAAAGGAAUUGACGGGGGCCCGCACAAGCGGUGGAGCAUGUGGUUUAAUUCGAAGCAACGCGAAGAACCUUACCAGGUCUUGACAUCCCGGUGACCACUAUGGAGACAUAGUUUCCCCUUCGGGGGCAACGGUGACAGGUGGUGCAUGGUUGUCGUCAGCUCGUGUCGUGAGAUGUUGGGUUAAGUCCCGCAACGAGCGCAACCCUUAUUCUUAGUUGCCAUCAUUCAGUUGGGCACUCUAAGGAGACUGCCGGUGAUAAACCGGAGGAAGGUGGGGAUGACGUCAAAGUCAUCAUGCCCCUUAUGACCUGGGCUACACACGUGCUACAAUGGACGGUACAAACGGUUGCCAACCCGCGAGGGGGAGCUAAUCCGAUAAAACCGUUCUCAGUUCGGAUUGUAGGCUGCAACUCGCCUACAUGAAGACC